ACAAACUUGGUCAUUUAGAGGAAGUAAAAGUCGUAACAAGGUUUCCGUAGGUGAACCUGCGGAAGGAUCAUUAUAGAACAAUCAAAUCCAUGUAGAGUGUGCUGUAGCUGGCCCUUCGUGGCAUGUGCACGCCAUUCUGCAAUUUGUUGUCCAUCCACCUGUGCACCCUUUGUAUAGUUCCUAUAGCGGUUUAACUAGCUAGCUAGACUUGCUAGUCGCGAGAGUGUACCAUUCGUACGCUCGUCACUCGCAAGGACUAUACGCAUUCAUAUACACUUCAGUUGAAUGGCUAGAAUGGUCUUGUAAUGAAUUUAUACAAGUAUAACUUUCAGCAACGGAUCUCUUGGCUCUCGCAUCGAUGAAGAACGCAGC
rnacentral:misc_RNA from 1 species